GUACUUACCUGGACGGGGUCAAUGGGUAAUCAGUCAGGCCCAUGGCCUAGGCUGGUGGCUUUCAUUGCACUUGGAAGGUGCACCCGCCUAAGGUCUCCUCAAGCGGGUAAUUAGUAAGGCCAAUAGCCAAGGCUAUUAGUCACAAAUUAGGGCACCUACUAAGUCAUUAC